rnacentral:rRNA from 1 species
UGGGGAAUAUUGCGCAAUGGGCGAAAGCCUGACGCAGCGACGCCGCGUGAGGGAUGAAGGUCUUCGGAUCGUAAACCUCUGUCAGCAGGGAAGAAAGUUAUGCGUGCUAAUCAGCGUGUAAUUGACGGUACCUGCAAAGGAAGCACCGGCUAACUCCGUGCCAGCAGCCGCGGUAAUACGGAGGAUCCGAGCGUUAUCCGGAUUUAUUGGGUUUAAAGGGAGCGUAGAUGGAUGUUUAAGUCAGUUGUGAAAGUUUGCGGCUCAACCGUAAAAUUGCAAUUGAUACUGGCGUCCUUGAGUACAGUUGAGGUGGGCGGAAUUCGUGGUGUAGCGGUGAAAUGCUUAGAUAUCACGAAGAACUCCUAUUGCGAAGGCAGCUCACUAAACUGCAACUGACAUUGAGGCUCGAAAGUGUGGGUAUCAAACAGGAUUAGAUACC